CAGGGAUAUCCUUGUCUCAUCGCGCACUAGCGACCAGGUCGCUAGGUGUACAGUGUUUCCUCCGACACAUUGGUGCAGCUGUCUUCCGGGUUGGAUGCAAACUGUGUUAAGAAGCAGUGCAGCUUGGUUAUGUUGUGUUUCGGAGGACGCAUGGCUCUCGACCUUCGCCUCUCCCGAGUCCAUGCGGGAGUUGUAGCGAUGAGACAAGACAGUAACUACUAACAAUUGGAUACCACGAAAAGGGGGGAGGGGUGUGUCACUUGAGUGGGUUGAGUCACUGAUGUGAUCUUCCUGUCUGGGUUGGCGCUCCCCCUUGGGUUGUGCCGUGGCGGAGAUCUUUGUGGGCUAUACUCGGCCUUGUCUCAGGAUGAGGACCUGAGCCCUAGGACCAUGCCUCAGGACUACCUGGCAUGAUGACUCCUUGUUCUCCCCAGUCCACCUGGCCGUGCUGCUGCUCCAGUUCCAACUGUUCUGCCUGCGGCUAUGGAACCCUGACCUGUUCACUGGAUGUGCUACCUGUCCCAGAACUAUUAUUUGACCAUGCUGGUCAUUUAUGAACAUUUGAACAUCUUGGCCAUGUUCUGUUAUAA
ensembl:lncRNA